rnacentral:rRNA from 1 species
AUUGAACGCUGGCGGCAUGCCUUACACAUGCAAGUCGAACGGCAGCACGGGAGCAAUCCUGGUGGCGAGUGGCGAACGGGUGAGUAAAGUAUCGGAACGUGCCCAGUCGUGGGGGAUAACGUAGCGAAAGUUACGCUAAUACCGCAUACGAUCUAUGGAUGAAAGCGGGGGAUCGCAAGACCUCGCGCGAUUGGAGCGGCCGAUAUCAGAUUAGGUAGUUGGUGGGGUAAAGGCUCACCAAGCCGACGAUCUGUAGCUGGUCUGAGAGGACGACCAGCCACACUGGGACUGAGGCACGGCCCAGACUCCUACGGGAGGCAGCAGUGGGGAAUUUUGGACAAUGGGCGAAAGCCUGAUCCAGCCAUGCCGCGUGCAGGAUGAAGGCCUUCGGGUUGUAAACUGCUUUUGUACGGAACGAAAAGGUUUGGCCUAAUAAGCUGAGCUCAUGACGGUACCGUAAGAAUAAGCACCGGCUAACUACGUGCUAGCCGCCGCAGUAA